CUGUCGGGUCACACACACACACACACAUUUCUCACUAUCGCCCCCUAAGGAUCCCGGUUGGUAUUGCACUUGAUAGUUCACACACACCACUACCAAAUAUGGUAUGUACCGCCCCUUCCUUGUCCCCAUGAAGUAUGUAUUCAAAUACUAAGAACUUUUUUCAGUGUUAGUCAACAAUUAGGCUAUUGGAAACGUUUAUUUGCAACAGAUGCCAACUACAGUGCUAAGAAUUAUACUUUUUUAAUUACAUUUUAAUUAAAAUGUAUUUAUUCAAUACAAAAUGCAGCUUAUAGGAAUUGCUUUAUAAUUAAUUGAGUGCUGGAUUGAAAUAAUAUAUUUCUUGAUCUAGUAAAAGCAAUAAAACAUGGCUUCUUAUUAGUGAAUUAGCAUUUAUAGAUAUGAUAUUUUGCCAUAACAAUAAUAAGAUUAAUCAUAUAUUCCCGAUUGUUGUCUUAGAUUCAAUAGAUUGUUGUCUUAUUGUCUAAGAGUCCAAACAAUACAUUUUUCCAAUGCUAGUAAGAGGCUUGUGACUUUGGCCGUUUGCUUUUAAUGUGAAAUCAGACAGGAAGUCAAAUGUACCUUCAGGUUCAACCUCAGCCUAGAAGAAGAGCCUUUUAUCUCUGUGAAACCGUCGAAUUUGAUGCAUAUUAAGGAUUUACCCGGAGCAAGUGGCGUGUACAUUUGAAAUGCCACCAAGAAUCAGUCCCCUCACAGAUGCCUGUCACCAUGUCGGUUUAAAGACUGACAAUACAUGGAAACUGGAGGUGAAGUACAUCAAUGCAGUAAAAGGGCGUGGGGUGUUCGCCAUAGGUUCAUUCUCCAAAGGAGAUUUUAUAGUGGAAUGCAGGGGAGAUUUGAUAAGCGAUGGUGAAGCUCAAAAGAGAAGAAGAAAUUAUAACCCUGCAUGUUCUGGAUUUUUGUUCGCGUUCAAGUUGGGAGGCAAAACAUGGUGCAUUGACGCCUCUAGAGAAGAUGGUUCCUUCGGCCGCUUGGUGAACGAUGACCACAGACAUCCCAAUGCCAGGAUGAAGAGAAUAGACAUUGCAGGAAGCACACACCUCUGUCUCUUUGCUCUCCAAGACAUAAAAGAAGGUGAAGAAAUUGCAUAUAAUUAUGGAGGAGAGGACUGCCCAAGCAGGUACGUGUUACAACUAGUGUUAAGGUAUAUACAAUUCAAGAAUGUCUUGGAAUAACUUAAUGAUUGAUGGUAUCUUUUCUUUGAAACUAUAUAAAUCAAUUUCAAUAAAUGAUCAUUUUUUCUAUUGUAUAUUAAAACAUUGGAUAUUCAGGAGGCAUCUGAAUCAGGGCCAAAUGUCACUGUAGUCUGGGACGUUCCCGACGUCCCCACAAUACAUCUUGUAUGGUUUUGUUUCAGUGAAACUUUAUGUUAAGUAUCUGAUAAAGGAGAACGUACAGGUGUGCGAAAUUCAACACAGUUAAUUCAACAUGUGUGAAAUGUCCCCACUAGGCAUAGUCUAUGUGACAGCAGACAGGUUGACAAAGCAGGACAAAAUAUUACCAUAGAAUCCUUUCUCGCUAGUUUGGUGUGUGGGGAUGUAUUUGACCCAAGAGACAUGUCCUUUAGAAAAUGUAUUAAAAUAAUAUAAUAUUAUGCAGUGUUUACAUGAAAUUGACUGAUUUACUUUUUGUAUCAAAUUGCAGAUGACUACAUGUGAACCUGAGACGUCCUGUGUGAGCUCCCAGUCUGUGCUCAUGUCAGAGCCACAGUGGGAUGAAGCUGCCUGGUUAGAGGACACUGGUCACCAGGUAAUUCAUGUCCAUCACUAAAUAU